rnacentral:rRNA from 1 species
AUUUGAUGGGAAGUAGUAAGCCUUAAUUAUAUUUAAAUAUGGACUCUUAAGAGUGUUAUUCCAGUUUAAGAUUUUAAAUAAUAUAAGUAAUUGUAAUUUAGAUAGUUUAUUAAUUUAGGUUUAUUAGGUGCCAGCAACCGCGGUCAAACCUAAUAAGUUAGCUUACAAGUUUAUUAAAUAUUAAAUAUUUCUUUAAUCAAUAUAAUAAAUAGUGAAAUAUUACUAUGUUUAUAGUACUACGAAAGAAAUUAAUACACUAAACUCAUAUAAAAAACUAGGAUUAGAGACCCUACUAUUAUGAGCUUAAAUAAUUAUUUAAUAAGGAGUAAAAUUAUAAAAUUUAAACUUUAAAAUUAUGGCGGCUAAACAAAACACUUAGGGGAACUUACCAUAUAAUUGA